UAACGCGUGAGGAUCUGCCCUUAGGAGGGGGAUAACGACUGGAAACGGUCGCUAAUACCGCAUAUGCCGAGAGGUGAAAAGAUUAAUUGCCUGAGGAUGAACUCGCGUCUGAUUAGCUAGUUGGAGUGGUAAUGGCACACCAAGGCGACGAUCAGUAGCUGGUCUGAGAGGAUGAUCAGCCACACUGGGACUGAGACACGGCCCAGACUCCUACGGGAGGCAGCAGUGGGGAAUUUUCCGCAAUGGGCGAAAGCCUGACGGAGCAAGACCGCGUGAGGGAGGAAGGCCUACUGGUUGUAAACCUCUUUUGAUAGGGAAGAACACAAUGACGGUACCUAUCGAAUCAGCCUCGGCUAACUCCGUGCCAGCAGCCGCGGUAAUACGGAGGAGGCAAGCGUUAUCCGGAAUUAUUGGGCGUAAAGCGUCCGUAGGUGGUUUAUCAAGUCAGUUGUUAAAGCGUGGAGCUUAACUCCAUAAGGGCAAUUGAAACUGAUAGGCUAGAGUGCGAUAGGGGCAAGGGGAAUUUCCCAAGUGUAGCGGUGAAAUGCGUAGAUAUU
rnacentral:rRNA from 1 species